rnacentral:rRNA from 1 species
UUAUUGGGCGUAAAGAAGCUCGUAGGCGGUCUGUCGCGUCUGCUGUGGAAACCCCGAGGCUCAACCUCGGGCCUGCAGUGGGUACGGGCAGACUAGAGUGCGGUAGGGGAGAUUGGAAUUCCUGGUGUAGCGGUGGAAUGCGCAGAUAUCAGGAGGAACACCGAUGGCGAAGGCAGAUCUCUGGGCCGUAACUGACGCUGAGGAGCGAAAGGGUGGGGAGCAAACAGGCUUAGAUACCCUGGUAGUCCACCCCGUAAACGUUGGGAACUAGUUGUGGGNUCCAUUCCACGGAUUCCGUGACGCAGCUAACGCAUUAAGUUCCCCGCCUGGGGAGUACGGCCGCAAGGCUAAAACUCAAAGGAAUUGACGGGGACCCGCACAAGCGGCGGAGCAUGCGGAUUAAUUCGAUGCAACGCGAAGAACCUUACCAAGGCUUGACAUAUAGAGGAAACGUCUGGAAACAGUCGCCCGCAAGGUCUCUAUACAGGUGGUGCAUGGUUGUCGUCAGCUCGUGUCGUGAGAUGUUGGGUUAAGUCCCGCAACGAGCGCAACCCUCGUUCUAUGUUGCCAGCACGUAAUGGGUGGGAACUCAUGGGAUACUGCCGGGGUCAACUCGGAGGAAGGUGGGGAUGACGUCAAAUCAUCAUGCCCCUUAUGUCUUGGGCUUCACGCAUGCUACAAUGGCCGGUACAAAGGGCUGCAAUACCGUGAGGUGGAGCGAAUCCCAAAAAAGCCGGUCCCAGUUCGGAUUGAGGUCUGCAACUCGACCUCAUGAAGUCGGAGUCGCUAGUAAUCGCAGAUCAGCAACGCUGCGGUGAAUACGUUCCCGGGUCUUGUACACACCGCCCGUCAAGUCAUGAAAGUCGGUAACACCUGAAGCCUUU